AGUGAACGCUGGCGGUAGGCCUAACACAUGCAAGUCGAACGGCAGCACAGAGGAGCUUGCUCCUUGGGUGGCGAGUGGCGGACGGGUGAGGAAUACAUCGGAAUCUACUCUGUCGUGGGGGAUAACGUAGGGAAACUUACGCUAAUACCGCAUACGACCUACGGGUGAAAGCAGGGGACCUUCGGGCCUUGCGCGAUUGAAUGAGCCGAUGUCGGAUUAGCUAGUUGGCGGGGUAAAGGCCCACCAAGGCGACGAUCCGUAGCUGGUCUGAGAGGAUGAUAAGCCACACUGGAACUGAGACACGGGCCAGACUCCUACGGGAGGCAGCAGUGGGGAAUAUUGGACAAUGGGCGAAAGCCUGAUCCAGCCAUACCGCGUGGGUGAAGAAGGCCUUCGGGUUGUAAAGCCCUUUUGUUGGGAAAGAAAUCCAGCUGGCUAAUACCCGGUUGGGAUGACGGUACCCAAAGAAUAAGCACCGGCUAACUUCGUGCCAGCCGCCGCGGUAA
rnacentral:rRNA from 1 species